UACGGGAGGCGCAGUGGGAAUAUUGCACAAUGGGCGCAAGCCUGAUGCAGCCAUGCCGCGUGUAUGAAGAAGGCCUUCGGGUUGUAAAGUACUUUCAGUCGUGAGGAAGGUGUUAAGGUUAAUAACCUUAGCAAUUGACGUUAGCGACAGAAGAAGCACCGGCUAACUCCGUGCCAGCAGCCGCGGUAAUACGGAGGGUGCGAGCGUUAAUCGGAAUUACUGGGCGUAAAGGGCACGCAGGCGGUUAAUUAAGUUGGAUGUGAAAUCCCCGGGCUUAACCUGGGAAUGGCAUUCAAGACUGGUUAGCUAGAGUCUUGUAGAGGGGGUAGAAUUCCAUGUGUAGCGGUGAAAUGCGUAGAGAUGUGGAGGAAUACCGGUGGCGAAGGCGGCCCCUGGGACAAAGACUGACGCUCAUGUGCGAAAGCGUGGGGAGCAAACAGGGAUUAGAUACC
rnacentral:rRNA from 1 species